UCCUAGGUGGCUCAGUGGUAAAGAAUCUGCCUGCAAUGCAGGAGACCCAGGUUUAAUUCCUGGGUUGGAAA
rnacentral:tRNA from 1 species